AUUGAAAUUUGUAGAAAGGCCUUUGCUAUGUCAGCAGAAACACCUAUCAAACCCUUGCGGAAUCCAAUUAACAAAUCAGAUGCAUCAUAUACUGGUCUCAACUUAGUGGUGAGACUUGACUCCUUUGAUACAGCUCUGUGAGAUUCCAAACGUCGAAAGGCUAUCUCACGAUUGUCCAGUAGAGAAUCAUGUCCAUCUUUCCAUGGAAGCUGCACCUCAUACC